CUUUUAUCCGCAGGCGUGCGCGCAUCUGGCCUUUUUUUCUCGGUGCAGAGGUUUCGGGGUUGGUAUGGAGGUGCGGUGCCGCGGAUGGCGGCGCGUGAUGCGGCAUCCGGGGAAGUCUCGGGAGCCCCGCACCCGCCUGCACCCUUCGGGAGCUAUAGUCCUAAAGAAAUGAAGAGAUCUUGCCCAGGGAGGAUCUGAACUAAAAAUGGUGAAUACUGUUAAACCUAUUCAGGAAAUGAAGAGAUCUUGCUCCGGGGGGAUCUGAACCAAAAAUGCUGAAUACUAUUAAACCUAUUCAGGUGAAAAGCAUUCAAACUUUCUGAAGAUAUAAAACUAUAAUUUUUGAAGAUACGAAAAUGCUUUUUCAAAAAGUUAAAAUGAAGUAUUAGCCCAAAAGUCACGUAUGAGCUAUGAAGAUAACCAAUAACUUUAUAGGUGGUUGUGGAUGGAUAUUCAGAUCUAUAUACCUUGACAAGAUUUCAAAUUGUUUUGUUUUAGCAGACUUUUCCAGCUCUUGAUGAAGAUAGGUAGCAGCAGUGAUGCAGUGGGAAGUAGAAGACCAAGAAACUAAAGUUUUAUCUUCAAUCUGCUACACUAUUGUUGUCCUUCAGUCCACUCUUUCCCAGACUGUCCAAGGUCAUGGUUGUUGCUUUCAUGAAACUAUCCAUCUCAUCCUCUGCUGUCCCCUUCUCUUUAAUCUUUCCUAACAUCAGGGUCUUUUUAGUGUUAAACCUCAAGCCAGCUUUUGCACUCUGCUCUUUCAUCCUCAUCCAGAGCCUUCUUAAUUCUUAACUUUCUGCCAUCAAUGUUAUUGUCUGCAUAUCUGAGAUUGACGAUCUCCCUGAAAUCUUGAUUCUGAGUUUCAUUUGUCCAGCCUGGCAUUUCAUUUGAUGUAUUCUGCAUAUCAGUUAAAUAAAGUGACAGUAUACAA